GAAAGCCUUUGAAACGAUAAAGCUUGUUCUGGUGGGUGCAUGAAUGUAACUGUCAGUCUUGAAUCAAAUAAUUAGUGAGAUUAAGAGCGUUAACCAUUUCAGUGCAGCACCACGCAACCAUAUGAUAGAUUUUGGUCCUUUGCGCAGUUAGUAAAAUCGUAGCCUUCAUAGGCCUUGAUGAUAUCUUUUGGGUUACAGUUUACCUUGAUUGUGUCUUUCAAUUGGACAUGAGAAUCCCUUUCUCACAAAAUGCCCACUUAAUACACGCGAAGGAUUGGCAAGUGGAACCCAACUUUGAGGGUGUAAUUGGUUAUAGUUUGGUGGUGGUGAUAGUGGUUUGCUUAGCCCUUUACUAUCAAAAGCCGGUUUGUAGUCAGUUUAAAGGUGGGAGCUCUUUCCAGGUUAUGGAAGACGAGCUACAUAAUGGAGCUAUGUGAAUUAUGUGCUUCAUACACCUGAAGAGAUAUAAGAUCGGGGACUUGUGAAGCAGUGGAAAGGUGGUAUCUGCUGUCCUAGGUUCUGAGUGAGUUGACUUCUUGAAAGGUCACAAGGAUAGCAGGUAUCCUUGGUAUAGGUAUUGAACAAAGGUAAGAUUCAUGAAACUGCUCAUGGCCAUGUUAGGGGGUGGAUUUUUUAGGGGGGAUUUUGGAGAGGAAAAAGGUGUGGGAACUGAAAAGAAAAUGACUAAGUGAUAAAGCAUCUUUGUUCUUUUGAUUACCCUACCAUUGUCCUCUUCCAUGGUUAUCCUUUAAUUCAUAGUGCAAACACGUGAAUUAAUCGGAGGAGAAAAGGAGACAUAGAUAGGCAAAGAUGCAACUGGUUGUCAGGGGGAAGUGUUUGCAGACAUGAGUUUUCGCAAUGUUUGGUGGAAUUGAAAUUUCUUCUGGGUUGAUUUGUCUAAAUGGAGCUAAAGAUUUUCAUAAUGCCAGUGGAAGACUAUUCUGCUGCUGUGGACGCAAACUGCUGAAUACUUGCUCCUACUAUGUGGAAAUGGGGUGAGUAAACUUCUUGAAAGGUCAAGUGGUUAGCAGGUAUCCUUGAUAUUGGGAUUCAACAAAGGUAAGACUCAUGAAACUGCGCAAGGCCAUGUUUGGUGGUGGAUUUUGUAGGAGGGAUUUUUGGAGAGAGGAAAAAGGUGUAGGAACUGAUGAGAAAAUGACGAAGUAAUAAAGCAACUUUAUUCUUUUGAUUACCCUACCAUUGUCCUCUUCCAUGGUGAAUCCACUAAUUCACAAUGCUAACUUAUGAAUUAGUUGGAGGAGACACAGAUAGGCAAAGAUGCAAUUGGUUUUUCGGGGGAAGUGUCGACAGACAUGAGUUUUUUCAAGGUUUUGUGGAAUUGAAAUUUCUUCCGGGUUGAUUGGUUCAUUGGUCUAAAUGGAGCUAAAGGUCUUCAUAGUGCCAGUGGAGACUAUUUUGCUAUUGUGGACGCAAGCUGCCAAAUACUUUGCUCUGACGAAGGAUAUGUUCAAUUUAGAUUGAGUUGCUCUUUUUUGCAUAUUCUAUCAUUUCGUAUUUUUUCUUGACGUGAUUAUAUUUACGGUCAUGAUGCGGUAAUUUAUGCUACAGAGAGAGAGAGAGAGAGAGAGAGAGAGAGGAGUCUGUGCAUGAUCUUACAGCUCUCUUUUGUCUUUUUCGGGUAUUUUACCUUGGGGAACUGAUUGGUCGUUCAAGAAUGCACUAGUUUUAGCCAUGAUCGAUAUUUUCGUCUUUGGAUUCUUUACCAUGGUGAAGAAUGUCUUUACAUGGGAUGUGUGAAUCAAUUAGGUUAUAUAUGGCCUUACC